rnacentral:rRNA from 1 species
AACGAACGCUGGCGGCAGGCUUAACACAUGCAAGUCGAACGGUGUAGCAAUACACAGUGGCAGACGGGUGAGGAACACGUGGGAACAUCCCUUUCGGUUCGGAAUAACGUUGGGAAACUAACGCUAAUACCGGACACGUCCUUCGGGAGAAAGAUUUAUUGCCGAGAGAUUGGCCCGCGUCUGAUUAGCUAGUUGGUGAGGUAACGGCUCACCAAGGAUACGAUCAGUAGCUGAUCUGAGUGGAUGACCAGCCACAUUGGGACGGAGACACGGCCCAAACUACUACGGGCGGCAGCAGUGGGGAAUAUUGAACAAUGGGCCCAAGCCUGAUCCAGCCAUGCCGCGUGAGUGAUGAAGGCCUCCGGGUUGUAACGCUCUUUUAUCCGGAAAGAUAAUGACGGUACCGGAAGAAUAAGCCCCGGCACACUUCGUGCCAGCAGCCGCAGUAAAAC